rnacentral:rRNA from 1 species
CCUACGGGAGGCAGCAGUGGGGAAUAUUGGGCAAUGGAGGAAACUCUGACCCAGCGACGCCGCGUGCGGGAUGAAGGCCUUCGGGUUGUAAACCGCUUUCAGCAGGGAAGAAGCGAAAGUGACGGUACCUGCAGAAGAAGCACCGGCUAACUAUGUGCCAGCAGCCGCGGUAAUACAUAGGGUGCAAGCGUUGUCCGGAAUUAUUGGGCGUAAAGAGCUCGUAGGUGGUUCGUCACGUCGGAUGUGAAAAUCUGGGGCUUAACCCCAGACCUGCAUUCGAUACGGGCGAGCUUGAGUAUGGUAGGGGAGUCUGGAAUUCCUGGUGUAGCGGUGGAAUGCGCAGAUAUCAGGAGGAACACCAAUGGCGAAGGCAGGACUCUGGGCCAUUACUGACACUGAGGAGCGAAAGCGUGGGGAGCGAACAGGAUUAGAUACCCUGGUAGUCCACGCCGUAAACGGUGGGCACUAGUUGUGGGGACCUUCCACGGUCUCUGCGACGCNGCUACGCAUAGUGCCCGCCGUCGGGAGGUACGAGUCGCGAGAAGUUAAACGUAACGUAAUUAGAAGUUAGUUACGGCGUGAGACGUUGCCGACGGACGACGACGAGGGAGGAGG